rnacentral:rRNA from 1 species
CCUACGGGAGGCAGCAGUGAGGAAUAUUGGACAAUGGGCGCAAGCCUGAUCCAGCCAUGCCGCGUGCAGGAUGACGGUCCUAUGGAUUGUAAACUGCUUUUGCACAGGAAGAAACAACGCUACGUGUAGCGUCUUGACGGUACUGUGAGAAUAAGGAUCGGCUAACUCCGUGCCAGCAGCCGCGGUAAUACGGAGGAUCCAAGCGUUAUCCGGAAUCAUUGGGUUUAAAGGGUCCGUAGGCGGUUUAGUAAGUCAGUGGUGAAAGCCCAUCGCUCAACGGUGGAACGGCCAUUGAUACUGCUAGACUUGAAUUAUUAGGAAGUAACUAGAAUAUGUAGUGUAGCGGUGAAAUGCUUAGAGAUUACAUGGAAUACCAAUUGCGAAGGCAGGUUACUACUAAUGGAUUGACGCUGAUGGACGAAAGCGUGGGUAGCGAACAGGAUUAGAUACCCUGGUAGUCCACGCCGUAAACGAUGGAUACUAGCUGUUGGGAGNGNUNUCAGUGNGUAGACGAAGUAGAGUAAGUAUACCACCGUACGGGAGGUACGGUUACGUCGAAGAAGUAGUAAACGUUAAAGGUAAAGUUAGUACGGACGUAGAGACGUUAGCGACGGACGACGACGAGGGAGGAGG